GGCAGUACCUUUAUGAUUUACAUUUAUUUAUUUCUUAUACAGUAGUUUGACCUUUCGGCUCGUAUAAGAUUGGGUAGGAACAUCCUUUCCUGGAUCUUGUUUUGGCUAGGAACAUCCUAUAUUGGAUCUUGUUUUGGAACAUCCUAUGUUGGAUCUUGUUUUGGUGCACUCUACCUUUAGAUUUUGUAGUAGUUUGUUUCUUGUACAGUAGUUUGUUUUGUUUACAGUGGUUGGAUAAUUUUACAAAAGUUUCUUUCUUUUCCUAACAUGAAGAACCGGAGCUCACUCCUUACGAGCAGAAGAGGGCUGCAUGUAUCUUAAGGAACCAGAAG
rnacentral:lncRNA from 1 species